AAAUUGAAGAGUUUGAUCAUGGCUCAGAUUGAACGCUGGCGGCAGGCCUAACACAUGCAAGUCGAACGGUAACAGGAAGCAGCUUGCUGCUUCGCUGACGAGUGGCGGACGGGUGAGUAAUGUCUGGGAAGCUGCCUGAUGGAGGGGGAUAACUACUGGAAACGGUGGCUAAUACCGCAUAACGUCGCAAGACCAAAGAGGGGGACCUUCGGGCCUCUUGCCAUCAGAUGUGCCCAGAUGGGAUUAGCUUGUUGGUGAGGUAA
rnacentral:rRNA from 1 species